rnacentral:rRNA from 1 species
AGUGAACGCUGGCGGUAGGCCUAACACAUGCAAGUCGAACGGACGCACAGUAAGCGUUUGCUCCUACGGGUGGCGAGUGACGGACGGGUGAGGCAUACAUAGGAAUCCACUUUUUCGUGGGGGAUAACGUAGGGAAACUUCCGCUAAUACCGCAUACUUCCUACGGGUGAAUGCAGAAGUUCAUCGGACCUUGCGCGUCACUAUGAGCUGAAGUCGGAUUAGCUAGUCGGCGAGGUAAAGGCCCACCAAGGCAACGAUGCGUAGCAGGCCUGAGAGGAUGAUCAGCCACACUGGAACUGAGACACGGUCCAGACUCCUACGGGAGGCAGCAGUAGGGAAUCUUCCGCAAUGGGCGAAAGCCUGACGGAGCAAAGCCGCGUGAGUGAUGAAGGUCUUCGGAUCGUAAAACUCUGUUAUUAGGGAAGAACAUAUGUGUAAGUAACUGUGCACAUCUUGACGGUACCUAAUCAGAAAGCAACGGCUAACUACGUG